rnacentral:rRNA from 1 species
UACGUAGGUGGCAAGCGUUGUCCGGAAUUAUUGGGCGUAAAGCGCGCGCAGGCGGUCCCUUAAGUCUGAUGUGAAAGCCCACGGCUCAACCGUGGAGGGUCAUUGGAAACUGGGGGACUUGAGUGCAGAAGAGGAAAGUGGAAUUCCAUGUGUAGCGGUGAAAUGCGUAGAGAUGUGGAGGAACACCAGUGGCGAAGGCGGCUUUCUGGUCUGUAACUGACGCUGAGGCGCGAAAGCGUGGGGAGCAAACAGG